rfam:Picea glauca, whole genome shotgun sequence.
GCAACGGUGUCUUUAGACACCACCUAUUUCUUUGAAGAUUAUUCCA